rnacentral:rRNA from 1 species
UACGGAGGGUGCAAGCGUUGUCCGGAAUUACUGGGCGUAAAGCGCACGUAGGCGGAUUUGUUAGUCAGGGGUGAAAUCCCGGGGCUCAACCUCGGAACUGCCUUUGAUACUGCAAAUCUCGAGUCCGAUAGAGGUGGGUGGAAUUCCUAGUGUAGAGGUGAAAUUCGUAGAUAUUCGCAGGAACACCAGUGGCGAAGGCGGCUCACUGGUCCGAUACUGACGCUGAGGUGCGAAAGCGUGGGGAGCAAACAGG